UACGGAGGGUGCAAGCGUUAUCCGGAUUUACUGGGUUUAAAGGGUGUGUAGGCGGGCUAUUAAGUCAGUGGUGAAAUCUCCGGGCUCAACCUGGAAACUGCCAUUGAUACUAUUAGUCUUGAAUUUUGUUGAGGUAGGCGGAAUAAGUCAUGUAGCGGUGAAAUGCAUAGAUAUGACUUAGAGCACCAAUUGCGAAGGCAGCUUGCUAAACAAAUAUUGACGCUGAGGCACGAAAGCGUGGGGAUCAAACAGG
rnacentral:rRNA from 1 species